GACGUAGGAGGCGAGCGUUGUCCGGAUUCAUUGGGCGUAAAGAGCGCGCAGGCGGCUUGGUAAGUCGGAUGUGAAAUCCCGAGGCUCAACCUCGGGUCUGCAUCCGAUACUGCCCGGCUAGAGGUAGGUAGGGGAGAUCGGAAUUCCUGGUGUAGCGGUGGAAUGCGUAGAGAUCCGGAAGAACACCGGUGGCGAAGGCGGCCUGCUGGGCAGUAGCUGACGCUGAGGCGCGACAGCGUGGGGAGCAAACAGG
rnacentral:rRNA from 1 species